CCUAAAAUACCAAUACACGAUAUUUUCUGCAACUCACUCACCUCCGUUAUGCAACUCACUCAACUUUUCUCACCUCUUUCCUCCAUUCACCGCUCAUGGAAACCGUUGGCCGCCGUUCUCACCUCUCACCGUUCACGGAAACCGUUGGCCGCCGUUCUCACCUCUCACCGCUCGUUUUUCCUCUCACGUCUCUUCGAUCUACAAGUUCUUCACCAAUUCGACUCCGAUUCAAACCCUAACAACGAGGAUUGAAAACGUUCGCGUUUUGCCCUGCAGUAUAAGAGCUUGUUGAAGAUUACUGAAGAGGAGUUUUCAGGACCUCCUUUCAAUAUGGUGAUUCAACUGUUUGUUGGAUUGUUGCUUUGUUUCUGGGCUGCUCUUACUGUGCUUGGGAAGUUUUUGUCCAUAC